rnacentral:lncRNA from 1 species
CAAAUCUUAAUGCUCAAUCAAAUUGAGCUAAUUAGUAAUCUAAUUAUUAAUCAAUCCUCUUAUAAUUUAUCAAUAAUUAGUGAAUUGAUUUAUUAUAAUUUUUACAUAGGAUUAAUCAUCAAUCAAAUUGACUGUUUUAUCCUAGAACGAUUCUUAAUCGUCGAUCAACCAUAUGAUCAAUCAAAAAAUUCUUUUGAGUGUGAUCUCAUAGGUUUAAACCUAAGAUAAUAGUAUAGCAAUAAUCUUUGUAUACCAAUUAAAGU